rnacentral:rRNA from 1 species
AUUGAACGCUGGCGGCAGGCCUAACACAUGCAAGUCGAACGCGUGGCGGACGGGUGAGUAAUGUCUGGGAAACUGCCUGAUGGAGGGGGCUAACUAAUGGAAACGGUAGCUAAUACCGCAUACCAUCAGAUAUUCCCCGAUGGGAUUAGCUAGUUGUUGGGGUAACGGCUCAACAGGGCGACGAUCCCUCGCUGGUCUGAGAGGAUGACCGGCCACACUGGAACUGAGACACGGUCCAGACUCCUAAGGGAGGCAGCAGUGGGGAAUAUUGCACAAUGGGCGCAAGCCUGAUGCAGCCAUGCCGCGUGUAUGAAGAAGGCCUUCGGGUUGUAAAGUACUUUCAGCGGGGAGGCGUUACCCGCAGAAGAAGCACCGGCUAACUCCGUGCCAGCAGCCGCGGUAAUAC